GAUGAACGCUGGCGGCGUGCCUAAUACAUGCAAGUCGAGCGAAUGGAUUAAGAGCUUGCUCUUAUGAAGUUAGCGGCGGACGGGUGAGUAACACGUGGGUAACCUGCCCAUAAGACUGGGAUAACUCCGGGAAACCGGGGCUAAUACCGGAUAACAUUUUGAAUCGCAUGGUUCGAAAUUGAAAGGCGGCUUCGGCUGUCACUUAUGGAUGGACCCGCGUCGCAUUAGCUAGUUGGUGAGGUAACGGCUCACCAAGGCAACGAUGCGUAGCCGACCUGAGAGGGUGAUCGGCCACACUGGGACUGAGACACGGCCCAGACUCCUACGGGAGGCAGCAGUAGGGAAUCUUCCGCAAUGGACGAAAGUCUGACGGAGCAACGCCGCGUGAGUGAUGAAGGCUUUCGGGUCGUAAAACUCUGUUGUUAGGGAAGAACAAGUGCUAGUUGAAUAAGCUGGCACCUUGACGGCACCUAACCAGAAAGCCACGGCUAACUACGUGCCAGCCGCCGCGGUAA
rnacentral:rRNA from 1 species